rnacentral:rRNA from 1 species
AACGAACGCUGGCGGCAGGCCUAACACAUGCAAGUCGAACGAGAAGCCACCUUCGGGUGGUGGAUAGUGGCAGACGGGUGAGUAACGCGUGGGAACGUGCCUUUCGGUUCGGGAUAACCCAGGGAAACUUGGGCUAAUACCGGAUACGCCCUCCGGGGGAAAGAUUCAUUGCCGAAAGAUCGGCCCGCGUCGGAUUAGCUAGUUGGUGGGGUAAAAGCCUACCAAGGCGACGAUCCGUAGCUGGUCUGAGAGGAUGACCAGCCACACUGGGACUGAGACACGGCCCAGACUCCUACGGGAGGCAGCAGUGGGGAAUAUUGGACAAUGGGCGCAAGCCUGAUCCAGCCAGGCCGCGUGGGUGAAGAAGGCCCUAGGGUUGUAAACCCCUCUCAGCGGGGAAGAUAAUGACGGUACCCGCAGAAGAAGCCCCGGCUAACUCCGUGCCAGCCGCCGCAGUAAAAC